GGCAGUUCAGAGCAGGAACACUCAGCCGAAACCACUGUGGAGAAAAGAGAGCUGGAGUGCGAGACAGAGAGUGUAUGAUUUGUCCUGUGGAGGGAGACACUGACUGACUCAAUCAUCAAAUCAGGAUGUUUGUUCUCAUCUGGGCGACUCUGCUCUUCUCUGUCAGAGAAACAUGUAUGCAUCUUUAUUAUAAUCUUGGUGCAUCAGUGGGG